GACGAACGCUGGCGGCGUGCUUAACACAUGCAAGUCGAACGGUGAAGCGCCUUCCUUUUUGGUGGGUGUGGAUGAGUGGCGAACGGGUGAGUAACACGUGAGUAACCUGCCCCCUUCUUCUGGAUAACCGCAUGAAAGUGUGGCUAAUACGGGAUAUUCUGGGUCUGUCGCAUGAUGGGUCUGGGAAAGAUAUUGUUUUGGUGGGUGAUGGGCUCGCGGCCUAUCAGCUUGUUGGUGGGGUGAUGGCCUACCAAGGCGGUGACGGGUAGCCGGCCGGAGAGGGUGGACGGUCACACUGGGGCGGAGACCCGGCCCAGACUCCUACGGGAGGCAGCAGUGGGGAAUAUUGCACAAUGGGCGCAAGCCUGAUGCAGCGACGCCGCGUGAGGGAUGGAGGCCUUCGGGUUGUGAACCUCUUUCGCCAGUGAAGCAGGCCUGCCUCGUUUGUGGGUGGGUUGACGGUAGCUGGAUAAGAAGCGCCGGCUAACUACGUG
rnacentral:rRNA from 1 species